AGCGGAUUGGUGGACAGGAGGACACAGAUGACUUUGAAUCAUCAGAAGAAGGUUCAAUACCUUCAUCCGCUG
rnacentral:tRNA from 1 species